UCCCCUUCAGGCAUUGAAAAGGAAAAAGAUGAAAUAUAUGUUUAUAUAUAACUCUGUUUCUACAUACCUCAUUGAAGUCAAAACGCAUUUAAUUGUUCUAUUUCCCUUCCUCCAUGAUCUCCAGCAAGUAGAAGAAACUGAGGUACCAUCAAAGAGCAAAGUAACUGGGACUGAGAAAAUGAAAGGUGACUACAGCCACCUGGUGGCCAUGUGGGGAAACAGCAAGUAGAUUGUUCCCAGAAGUCUGGUGAGAGGAAGAAACUGGAAUCAUUUCUGUCUUGGAUCUAUGGGACGCAGGGGGAGAGAAGCAUACGGGAAAAGACUGCAGCACAGGAGUAAGACAUCCUGCUUCUCGGUCCCACCUUGCCUUCCAGCGUACAACAUCCCACCCACUGGUGACGACAGACAGAUGAAUUCACUUAACACUGGAGUUCAGUCAGUCAACAUUUAUUGAACAGCAGCUAUGUGCCCAGCAGUGGGAAUACAGCAAUGGACAAAAUGCACAAGAACUCUGCCCUCAUGAGCUUACAGUCUAGCAGCCAGCCAGCCAGUACAUCCAUAAUUUACAGUUGUAGGAAGGUCUCAGAAAUGUAUGAUGCUAAGAAAAGAAUUUACAAGUUUGGACUACACUGAGAAAUCAGAAAAGGCCUCCCUGAGGAAGAAACAUUUAGGACCAGCUGGGUAUUGCAAGCAGAGAGCAAAGUCUGAAGGCUCUGUGUCAAAAGGAAAUGAACUAAAAGCCAGCAGUGGGGCUGGGUCAUGCGGAACGAGGAUGUGUCAUGGAUGAGAUGCACGAGGCAGGCAGAGCAUGAUUUUUGCAGGGCCUCUGAAUUUAGGACUUUAUUCCAAAAACAAUUAGAAGCCACCAAGAAUCUUUUUUUUUUUUUUUUUUAGAUUUUUGGUAAAGGGCACGUGCACUCACUGGAGAGAAAGAGAGAGAGAGAC